UAGGUCGACCCGCUGAAUUUAAGCAUAUCAGUAAGCGGAGGAAAAGAAACUAACAAGGAUUCCCCUAGUAGCGGCGAGCGAACAGGGAAGAGCCCAGAACCGAAUCCCUUGGUGUGAUGCCAAUGGGAAAUGUGGUGUUGGGGUGGUUUCUUGCUGUACAUUGAGUGAUUCUAAGUCCACUUGAUUGUGGCGCUCUAGCCCAGAGAGGGUGUAAGGCCCGUAAGGAUCACUUGUGUGUGGCGCGAAGCUACUCAAGAGUCGGAUUGUUUGGGAAUGCAGUCCUAAGCGGGUGGUAAACUCCAUCCAAGGCUAAAUACAACACGAGACCGAAAGUAAACAAGUACCGUGAGGGAAAGUUGAAAAGGACUUUGAAGAGAGAGUUCAAUAGUGCGUGAAACCGCUUAGAGGUAAGCUGGUAGAGCCGAAGUUGGAUUUGAUGGUUGAUACUUUCUGAGUUGCAUCACGCCAGUAGAGUGGGAUCCUCCUUAAUUGUGGACCUUUAACUCUCUGCUGGAUCAGUGUGUGUAGUCGGUUAGUUGUUUUCCUCAAAUCUUCACCACGAUCGGCGAUUCUGUCUGUCUACUGUCAUGAGGAAGGUAGGGUUGUCUGUCCUUGCGGCAGCUUCCUGUUAUAGACCAUGGCGUGGAGCUGAUGAAUUGCUGUGCAUGGCGACACAAGCUCUUUUAUUGGAGCGCAUACGGUAAAUUGCUUCUGUGUCUCAUUGAGGUGACUCUUUAUCGAGUCUCUUUGAUGUUUAGUAUGCAGAUGUUGAUUUGUCCUCUGUGUAUUGUGUCAACAAUCUGUGGUGUAUUGUAGGCCAUCUACCUGACCCGUCUUGAAACACGGACCAUGGAGUCUAACAUGUAUGCGAGUCAUGAGGUUCUACGAAACCUAAAGGCGCAGUGAAAGUAAAGAUUUGCCUUGUUGCAAAUUGAGGUGGGAUUCUUUGAGCUUUUAUUAGCAAAGAGACGCACCACCGGCUUGUCUCAUGUUUUUUAAACGGGGCAAAGCAAGAGCACACACGUUGGGACCCGAAAGAUGGUGAACUAUGCUUGCGUAGGUUGAAGCCAGAGGAAACUCUGGUGGAGGACCGAAGCGCUUCUGACGUGCAAAUCGAUCGUCAAACGUGAGUAUAGGGGCGAAAGACUAAUCGAACUAUCUAGUAGCUGGUUCCCUCCGAAGUUUCCCUCAGGAUAGCUGGCACUCGGGAAUCAAACAGUUUUAUCCGGUAAAGCGAAUGAUUAGAAGUAUUGGGGGUGAAAUGCCCUCAACUUAUUCUCAAACUUUAAAUGGGUGAGAUGACAGUCUCUCUUAAUUGGAGUCUCGUCAUGGAAUGUGAGUGCCUAGUGGGCCAUUUUUGGUAAGCAGAACUGGCGAUGCGGGAUGAACCGAAAGUACUGGUUAAGGUGCCUAAGAAAACGCUCAUGAGAUACCACAAAAGGUGUUGGUUCAUAUAGACAGCAGGACGGUGGUCAUGGAAGUCGAAAUCCGCUAAGGAGUGUGUAACAACUCACCUGCCGAAUGAACCAGCCCUGAAAAUGGAUGGCGCUGGAGCGUUUCACCUAUACCAGACUGAUACUGCAAUUGCUUGUUGGCGUGGAUGUAGUAUCAUGUAGGAGGGCGAAAUGGUAAGCAUUGAAGCCACGGUCGUGAGACUGGGUGGAGCUGCCAUUUGUGCAGAUCAUGGUGGUAGUAGCAAGUAUUCAAGUGAGAACCUUGAAGACUGAAGUGGAGAAGGGUUCC
rnacentral:rRNA from 1 species